UGGGGAAUUUUGGACAAUGGGCGCAAGCCUGAUCCAGCCAUGCCGCGUGAGUGAUGAAGGCCUUCGGGUUGUAAAGCUCUGUCGGAGGGAACGAACAAGAGCGACCUAACACGUCGUUCUCUGACGGUACUCUCAAAGGAAGCACCGGCUAACUCUGUGCCAGCAGCCGCGGUAAGACAGAGGGUGCAAGCGUUGUUCGGAAUCACUGGGCGUAAAGGGAGUGUAGGCGGUAAGGUGUGUUCGGCGUGAAAGACCUCGGCUUAACCGGGGAAGUGCACUGAAUACUACCUUACUUGAGUGUGAGAGGGGAUGGCGGAAUUGUCAGUGUAGAGGUGAAAUGCGUAGAUAUCAAGAGGAACACCUGAGGUGAAGACGGGUUGCUGGGCUGACACUGACGCUGAGGCGCGAAAGCCAGGGGAGCAAACGGGAUUAGAUACCCCGGUAGUCCCUGAGCGGGCUGGCAAGGCGCAU
rnacentral:rRNA from 1 species